rnacentral:tRNA from 1 species
CGGAAUGUGGCUCAGCUUGCGUAGAGCACUCGCUUCGGGAGCGAGAGGUCGCGGGUUCAAAUCCCGCCAUUCCGAC